rnacentral:lncRNA from 1 species
UGUGCCUCUUAGGGAUCGAUAUCCACAUAGCAAUCCAAUGAGUGUCAUUGUAGUUCACUGGCACAUAGACAUCAUCAAUAUCAGUCCCGCAAACCUUGUUUGAUUGGCAAAAUGAUGGUGUAGUGCCUGUAUAAUAAUUCCACGCCCCACCAGGGAGUCUUCUUCCUAAACUGUUCUGAUCGGGCUCCGAGUCCUUAAAAUCGUUGUAGUUGAAUCUCCAUUGCUGAGCAAAGAGAUGAUCAGAGAAUCACAUUCUCUCGCUCCUGAAAUGUUGUGGGUUAGCGUCGUACCUCUUCCUCAGCAAAUUAAUCCAAGCAUCAAUAUGCUGCAUAUAAAAUAUAAUAGAAGUUAGAAGAUAUCAGACGACUUAUUGGUAAGUCGUCUACAAAGAAGACUUAUCAGUACGUCAUCUAAGUCAUAGCAGAAGACUUACACAGUCCUCCAGCCACUCUAAGGAGGUCCAGAGGAUUUGAUACCACCAAGUUCUACUUGUACGUGGUUUUUUAUCGAGAGGUGUUUUAUAAUGACUGC